AGAGUCAGUAGAUCUACUAGUAGUAGUAAUAUUACUAGUAUUAGUAUAUUUACUAGUACUGUACUGUAGUAGUAGUCCUCAGUAGUACUAGUAGUAGUACUUGAAGUACUGCUAACAAAUGCCACACGCAAGCCCGGGAAAUGGUAGUUCAGUCAGUUUUCUUCUCUUCGCCGGCCUGGUGCUCUUCUGAAACACACUUGAUUGUACUUCUCUGAGGUUGGAAUUUGUUUUCAGCGUAGAAUCGAACGCCCGAACGCAGGAGAUGGGUGUUGUUUCGCUAAUAAUUCGCCUUGUGCUGAACUUGGCCGUGGGAGCUGGUUCCGUGAUGAUCCUAUACGGCAUAGUAUCGUCCAGUGUAUAUGUGCACGUGUGUGUAUGUAUGUGUGCAUGUGGGUGUGAGUGUUUGUGUUUGUGUGUGUGGGAACACAAACUCUGGAGUUCCCUUACACAGAGUGGAGCUUCCCAAGCACAGCUAUGGCGCCGAUGGUACAUGCCUGCUUUGGACUUCUAAGUCCGCGGAUGGUGAUAAGCUAAUUACUGGGCCGGUAGCCAUGUGUAACUUUGCAAUUGCUUUCGCGUCUGUUUCCAUCCUUCUUGCCAUACUGCUGACAAUCAUCUUCCUCCGCAGCAUUGCGACCGGCACAGCCGACAAGCACACAAUAUUAGUGAUAAUGGGACUUGUCUUCCUCAUCUGCUCCCUGAUAAUGGCUCUUGCUGCUAGUAUCGUUAUAUCAGUAGGUGUCCUGAUAUCCUGCCGUAACAUUAAGGAUCUUACAACGGUACCUUGCGAGACGUUUGUUUUUCGCCAUGACCUUGACGACACAGAAGGCUUCGAAUGGUACUCACCAAUGAACAUUGCCCAGAUGGGAUCCUGGAUAGUUUCGGGUUGCUGUCUCUUCCAUCUGAUCUUUGCCAUUGUGGACCUGCGAGCUUUUCGCAAGCAGAAGUCUGGAUCCGGGGACAUAACGGACCCUAGUGACCGUGUGCAUAUUCUUGCCGACCCCAGCACAUUUGAGGACUCUUGCAGGGACGACCCCCCGCCACCUUUUGAAGACAAUGAUCCGAAUGCGACACCCAGGCAGGCGGUGUGAUUUAGACCUUGGCAGGAAUUGAUGGAUUUACAAGUAUUACAUUUUUUAUCU